GUGCACCUGCCUCGGCUUUGGGAGCCGAGGAUGUGGAUCAUCGGUGCACU
rnacentral:tRNA from 1 species